rnacentral:misc_RNA from 1 species
GAUGAAGAACGUAGCGAAAUGCGAUAAGUAAUGUGAAUUGCAGAAUUCAGUGAAUCAUCGAAUCUUUGAACGCACCUUGCGCUCCUUGGUAUUCCAAGGAGCAUGCCUGUUUGAGUAUCAUUAAAUUAUCAACUGUGCCAAUUUGGUUACAGAUUGGAUGUGGGAGAUUCUUUUUGCAGGCCUUUGACUUCUCUUUGAGAAAAAAAAAAAAAGGUCGGCUCUCCUGAAAUGUAUUAGCAGUGCCUUUGUUGGUUCAUUAGGUGUGAUAAAUUGUCUACAUCUUCGCAUGAUACCUUCAUUUGUAAAGGUCAUAUUGCUUCUAAAUUGUCUUUGAUUGGACGCAAAACAUAUAUAAUGUUUGACAAACUUGAUCUCAAAUCAGGCAGGACUACCCGCUGAACUUAAGCAUAUCAAUAAGCGGAGGA